AAGGAUUUAAGUUAUUUUAAACUUUUAACCUUCAAAGUUAAAAAUAGGGUAAAUUUCCCUAAGCCUUA
rnacentral:tRNA from 1 species